rnacentral:rRNA from 1 species
AUGGGAGUGAGAAUGUUGGCAUGAGUAGCGAGAUGUGGGUGAGAAUCCCACAGGCCGUAAACCCAAGGUUUCCAGGGGAAGGUUCGUCCGCCCUGGGUUAGUCGGAACCUAAGCUGAGGCCGAAAGGCGUAGGUGAUGGACAACAGGUUGAUAUUCCUGUACUACCGAUAACCAUUUGAGAGAAGGGAUGACACAGUAGGAUAAGCUAAGCACACUGUUGGUUAUGUGUGCCCAAGCAUUGAGGCAGUCAAAGUAGGCAAAUCCGCUUUGAUAAUGCUGGGAUGUGAUGGGGAGCGAAAUUUAGUAGCGAAGUAGCUGAUUUCACACUGUCAAGAAAAGUCUCUA